GGAAGUAAAAGUCGUAACAAUGUUUCCGUAGGUGAACCUGCGGAAGGAUCAUUAUUGUAUAACCGAGGUGCGAGGGCUGUCGCUGACCCGAAAGGUCGUGCACGCCCGAGUGCCCUCACACACAUCCAUCUCACCCCUAUGUGCACCACCGCGUGGGUCCCCCUUUGGCUUGUUCGGAGGGGGGCUUACGUUUUCACACAAACUUUGUAUGCAGUGUAGAAUGUAUUUUUUGUUUUUGCGAUCACGCAAUCAAUACAACUUUCAACAACGGAUCUCUUGGCUCUC
rnacentral:misc_RNA from 1 species